UCUCUCCGCCGGCCGCCGCCGCGGAGCUGGGCUGGGGCGCGCGGCCGCGGGCAGCGAUCCCGGGAGCCGGAGGGCGUGAGGCGUUCCGCCCGCAGCGUGCGCCCCGCAACCGGCUCUCAGAGCUGGGCAGGCAACGCAUUGCGGGGCCCCACCGGGCGAAGAGGAGGGUCCACUCGGUACUUGGGAAAGUCUGUGGGCGCGUGUUUGAAGCGAGUCAGUCCUGGCCGAGGAGACUCAGGGUGCCGAAGGACACCAGUGGAACUCUUGCAAGAGGCCUAGUGUCGCCCUGAACACAGGGGCGACCUGGCACUGGGUUACCCAGAGUUGGGUGCGGCAGAAUUUGGAGCAAAACUGGUGGCUGCAGAAACCAUUCCCAGCCCAGUCCCAGGUGGAUGACUGGUGGGUGGCUGCCCACUCGCUCAGCCCAGAUACCAACUGAGCAUCUGUGCCUGAGUACUGGGGCUGCCUGCUAAGGACAAAACGUGUCAGGACCCCUCCCCCAGAAAUGUCUCAAGAUUAGGAAAAGAACUCACCAGAAAACCACUGGCUAAGGAAGGGGACCCUGUUAACCAGAACUGACACAAGAGGAAACAGAAAGUCUGAAUAGUUCUAUGUCUGCUCCCAACAUCCUGAAGAAAAAGCCCUGAAUUUAGUCACAUCCAGAGCUGGAACCUGCCAUGCAGCCCCUGAAGUUGAACCUACAGCCUCAGAAGAGAGUCAGGCCUGUCCAAAGCUGCCGCCUGAGGGGCAGCUGAAGACCCACUAGUCGUCCUCCUGCCCCUCCCCAUACCACACAGGGGAGAGCAGCUCCUCACUGUGGGAGGUACUUUGUCAUCCCUGCUGACAACACCACUUUCCUAGUAUUUUGUGUUAAAAAAUAUAUUUUGAGGCUGUGAUGCUGGUGGGUGAAGCGAAAGGUUUCCAAGGAAAGUUGCAAAUGAAUGCUCUUUGUUCAAGGUCA